UACGAAGGGGGCUAGCGUUAUCCGGAUUUACUGGGCGUAAAGGGUGCGUAGGUGGUUUCUUAAGUCAGGAGUGAAAGGCUACGGCUCAACCGUAGUAAGCUCUUGAAACUGGGAAACUUGAGUGCAGGAGAGGAAAGUGGAAUUCCUAGUGUAGCGGUGAAAUGCGUAGAUAUUAGGAGGAACACCAGUAGCGAAGGCGGCUUUCUGGACUGUAACUGACACUGAGGCACGAAAGCGUGGGGAGCAAACAGG
rnacentral:rRNA from 1 species